rnacentral:rRNA from 1 species
UACGUAGGGGGCAAGCGUUGUCCGGAAUCAUUGGGCGUAAAGAGCGUGUAGGCGGUCCGGUAAGUCGGCUGUGAAAGUCCAGGGCUCAACCCUGGGAUGCCGGUCGAUACUGCCGGACUAGAGUUCGGAAGGGGCGAGUGGAAUUCCUGGUGUAGCGGUGAAAUGCGCAGAUAUCAGGAGGAACACCAAUGGCGAAGGCAGCUCGCUGGGACGUGACUGACGCUGAGACGCGAAAGCGUGGGGAGCAAACAGG